AUGUGGCACUUGGGGACAUGGCUUAGUGGUGGAGUUGGCAGUGCUUGGUUAACGACUGGACUCGAUCUUAAAGGCUACUCUUUACUUUUCAGCU